UACAGAGGUCCCGAGCGUUGUUCGGAUUCAUUGGGCGUAAAGGGUGCGUAGGUGGCGAUGUAAGUCUGGUGUGAAAUCUCGGGGCUCAACCUCGAAAUUGCAUUGGAUACUGCGUUGCUUGAGGAUUGUAGAGGAGAGUGGAAUUCACGGUGUAGCAGUGAAAUGCGUAGAUAUCGUGAGGAAGACCAGUUGCGAAGGCGACUCUCUGGGCAAUUCCUGACACUGAGGCCCGAAGGCUAGGGGAGCAAACGGG
rnacentral:rRNA from 1 species